CCUGAGAAACCCAAAAGAUCGAAUGGGGAGAUUCAUCGUCAGCGCGGUUGGCUUCCGUGCGGCUCGCGAUGGCCGGGACUUCGGUCUCGCGUCACGCGGUCGCCGCGGCAUGUCCGACCGCGUCGGCGUGCACUUCUCCCCUAGUAGGACGUCGCGACCCGUUGGGUGUCGGAUCAAUGGCCGUUCGGUCGUCUGUUGCGCCUCGCGCGCGGCAGACCGUUCGGUUCAACGUCCGGCUGCCCGGCGGUAUAGAACGCUUAAUCACGGUAAUGGGCCGCAUCUUGAAUGCGUUUCAGGCUCGUCGGCAGGCUCGUCUCGCCCGGAUUUACGGACCUAGCGCCGUUGCCGGGCGCUUGGCGCGGCCGUUAGUCGACGAUGUCCUCGGACUGGCUCUUACCGGUCUGCGACGCUACUGCUUUGGGUACUUUC
rnacentral:rRNA from 1 species